GUUUUCGUGGUGUAGUGGUCAGCACGCUUAGUGAGUAUUCCAGAGGUCCGUGGUUCGAGUCCCGGCGAAAGCG
rnacentral:tRNA from 1 species